rnacentral:rRNA from 1 species
UACGAGUGGUCCAAGCGUUAUCCGGAAUUAUUGGGCGUAAAGGAUGUGUAGGUGGUUGUGUUAGUCGGGCGUCUAACCUCCAAGCUUAACUUGGAGACAGCGUUCGAAACGGCACGGCUAGAGUAUGUUAGGGGUAAGCGGAACUCAUAGUGUAGGGGUGAAAUCCGUUGAUAUUAUGGGGAACACCAAAAGCGAAGGCAGCUUACUGGAACAUUACUGACACUGAAACAUGGAAAGCGUGGGUAGCGAAUG